rnacentral:rRNA from 1 species
CCUACGGGAGGCAGCAGUGGGGAAUAUUGGACAAUGGGCGCAAGCCUGAUCCAGCCAUGCCGCGUGGGUGAAGAAGGCCUUCGGGUUGUAAAGCCCUUUUGUUGGGAAAGAAAAGCAGUCGGUUAAUACCCGAUUGUUCUGACGGUACCCAAAGAAUAAGCACCGGCUAACUUCGUGCCAGCAGCCGCGGUAAU